rnacentral:rRNA from 1 species
AAUCAACGCUGGCGGCGUGCCUCAGACAUGCAAGUCGAACGCGAAAGUUUCCUUCGGGGAACAAGUAGAGUGGCGCACGGGUGAGUAACACGUAGGUAAUCUACCUUUGGAUGGGGAAUAACAAUCGGAAACGGUUGCUAAUACCGCAUAAUGCAGCGGCACCUAAUGGUGACAGUUGUUAAAGCGGGGGAUCGAAAACUCGCGUCUGAAGAGGAGCCUCGCGGCGGAUUAGCUAGUGGUUAAGGUAAUGGCUUACCAAGGCUACGAUCCGUAACCGGCCUGAGAGGGCGGUCGGUCACACUGACACUGACAUACGGGUCAGACUCCUACGGGAGGCAGCAGUCGGGAA